CAGAAACAAGCCAGCACCUCAUACCUCAGCUGGAGCAGGGAAAGAAAGAGACUGCGGAGAGACGGACGAUGAAGGAGGAAGACAGGAAGUAGGCGGCCGCAGAUUGUGGACGCCAGCGAAAAGACACGCCAAGCAUCUCGUCUGGAGGCCUAUAAAUGAAGUGCAGAAAGCAGCACUCAUGCGCCAUAUGAUGCGUUGCAUGUAAGGCGGAAGAAAGUGAUACUUAGUGGCGUUUGGUGAGCAGGCUGAGUGGCGUUGGGAACACUAACUCGCCGUCUAACACGGGGUCAAAGCAUUACGGACCUCCAAACAACACCCAAAUGGUCUCGGUGAAACCAUUCAAACUAGGGUUGCUCGUGCAUGCAGUACUCCCGCCACCCUGCAGGGGGCAACAGUGAAGCAUUUGUGGGGUGAGUAGAAGAAGAUGGCGCUAUCGACCCUGAAAAAAAAAAUCUAAAUAAAUGGCGAAAAUGGGACUUUUAACAGCGACUGGACAACAAAGUAGGAAUGUUUUAGAAAUGCUGACUUUGAUGUUUUUUGUAUUCGUGGUCGUGUUAAAACUGGAUAAAUGCAUUCUUAAUUUGACCAGCAGAGGGCGAAAAAGCUACACAACAGCCCUUUGAGACACUUGUGAUUUAGGGCUAUAUAAAUAAACAUUUAUUGAUUGA